GAUGAACGCUGGCGGCGUGCCUAAUACAUGCAAGUCGAGCGAACAGAUGAGGAGCUUGCUCCUCUGACGUUAGCGGCGGACGGGUGAGUAACACGUGGAUAACCUACCUAUAAGACUGGGAUAACUUCGGGAAACCGGAGCUAAUACCGGAUAAUAUAUUGAACCGCAUGGUUCAAUAGUGAAAGACGGUUUUGCUGUCACUUAUAGAUGGAUCCGCGCCGCAUUAGCUAGUUGGUAAGGUAACGGCUUACCAAGGCAACGAUGCGUAGCCGACCUGAGAGGGUGAUAGGCCACACUGGAACUGAGACACGGUCCAGACUCCUACGGGAGGCAGCAGUAGGGAAUCUUCCGCAAUGGGCGAAAGCCUGACGGAGCAACGCCGCGUGAGUGAUGAAGGUCUUCGGAUCGUAAAACUCUGUUAUUAGGGAAGAACAAAUGUGUAAGUAACUAUGCACGUCUUGGCGGUACCUAAUCAGAAAGCCACGGCUAACUACGUG
rnacentral:rRNA from 1 species